GACGAACGCUGGCGGCGUGCUUAACACAUGCAAGUCGAACGGAAAGGCCCUGCUUUUGUGGGGUGCUCGAGUGGCGAACGGGUGAGUAACACGUGAGUAACCUGCCCUUGACUUUGGGAUAACUUCAGGAAACUGGGGCUAAUACCGGAUAGGAGCUCCUGCUGCAUGGUGGGGGUUGGAAAGUUUCGGCGGUUGGGGAUGGACUCGCGGCUUAUCAGCUUGUUGGUGGGGUAGUGGCUUACCAAGGCUUUGACGGGUAGCCGGCCUGAGAGGGUGACCGGCCACAUUGGGACUGAGAUACGGCCCAGACUCCUACGGGAGGCAGCAGUGGGGAAUAUUGCACAAUGGGCGGAAGCCUGAUGCAGCAACGCCGCGUGCGGGAUGACGGCCUUCGGGUUGUAAACCGCUUUCGCCUGUGACGAAGCGUGAGUGACGGUAAUGGGUAAAGAAGCACCGGCUAACUACGUGCCAGCAGCCGCGGUGAUACGUAGGGUGCGAGCGUUGUCCGGAUUUAUUGGGCGUAGAGGGCUCGUAGGUGGUUGAUCGCGUCGGAAGUGUAAUCUUGGGGCUUAACCCUGAGCGUGCUUUCGAUACGGGUUGACUUGAGGAAGGUAGGGGAGAAUGGAAUUCCUGGUGGAGCGGUGGAAUGCGCAGAUAUCAGGAGGAACACCAGUGGCGAAGGCGGUUCUCUGGGCCUUUCCUGACGCUGAGGAGCGAAAGCGUGGGGAGCGAACAGGCUUAGAUACCCUGGUAGUCCACGCUGUAAACGGUGGGUACUAGGUGUGGGGUCCAUUCCACGGGUUCCGUGCCGUAGCUAACGCUUUAAGUACCCCGCCUGGGGAGUACGGCCGCAAGGCUAAAACUCAAAGGAAUUGACGGGGCCCCGCACAAGCGGCGGAGCAUGCGGAUUAAUUCGAUGCAACGCGUAGAACCUUACCUGGGUUUGACAUGGAUCGGGAGCGCUCAGAGAUGGGUGUGCCUCUUUUGGGGUCGGUUCACAGGUGGUGCAUGGCUGUCGUCAGCUCGUGUCGUGAGAUGUUGGGUUAAGUCCCGCAACGAGCGCAACCCUUGUUCACUGUUGCCAGCACGUUAUGGUGGGGACUCAGUGGAGACCGCCGGGGUCAACUCGGAGGAAGGUGGGGAUGACGUCAAGUCAUCAUGCCCCUUAUGUCCAGGGCUUCACGCAUGCUACAAUGGCUGGUACAGAGAGUGGCGAGCCUGUGAGGGUGAGCGAAUCUCGGAAAGCCGGUCUCAGUUCGGAUUGGGGUCUGCAACUCGACCUCAUGAAGUCGGAGUCGCUAGUAAUCGCAGAUCAGCAACGCUGCGGUGAAUACGUUCCCGGGGCU
rnacentral:rRNA from 1 species